rnacentral:rRNA from 1 species
UACAGAGGGUGCGAGCGUUGUUCGGAAUUAUUGGGCGUAAAGGGUUCGUAGGCGGUGCGGCAAGUCGGGAGUGAAAUCUCUGGGCUUAACCCAGAGGCUGCUUCCGAAACUGCUGUGCUUGAGUGUGGGAGAGGCGCGUGGAAUUGCAGGUGUAGCGGUGAAAUGCGUAGAUAUCUGCAGGAACACCCGUGGCGAAAGCGGCGCGCUGGACCACUACUGACGCUGAGGAACGAAAGCUAGGGGAGCAAACAGG